rnacentral:rRNA from 1 species
UACGUAGGGUCCGAGCGUUGUCCGGAAUUACUGGGCGUAAAGAGCUCGUAGGUGGUUUGUCGCGUUGUUCGUGAAAACUCACAGCUCAACUGUGGGCGUGCGGGCGAUACGGGCAGACUGGAGUACUGCAGGGGAGACUGGAAUUCCUGGUGUAGCGGUGGAAUGCGCAGAUAUCAGGAGGAACACCGGUGGCGAAGGCGGCUCUCUGGGACGGUACUGACGCUGAGACGCGAAAGCGUGGGG